rnacentral:rRNA from 1 species
GACGAACGCUGGCGGCGUGCCUAAUACAUGCAAGUAGAACGCUGAAGAGAGGAGCUUGCUCUUCUUGGAUGAGUUGCGAACGGGUGAGUAACGCGUAGGUAACCUGCCUUGUAGCGGGGGAUAACUAUUGGAAACGAUAGCUAAUACCGCAUAACAAUGGAUGACACAUGUCAUUUAUUUGAAAGGGGCAAUUGCUCCACUACAAGAUGGACCUGCGUUGUAUUAGCUAGUAGGUGAGGUAAUCGCUCACCUAGGCGACGAUACAUAGCCGACCUGAGAGGGUGAUCGGCCACACUGGGACUGAGACACGGCCCAGACUCCUACGGGAGGCAGCAGUAGGGAAUCUUCGGCAAUGGGGGCAACCCUGACCGAGCAACGCCGCGUGAGUGAAGAAGGUUUUCGGAUCGUAAAGCUCUGUUGUAAGUCAAGAACGGGUGUGAGAGUGGAAAGUUCACACUGUGACGGUAGCUUACCAGAAAGGGACGGCUAACUACGUG